rnacentral:tRNA from 1 species
GCCGGGGUGCCCGAGCGGACCAAGGGGCUGGCCUGGAGAGCCAGUGGGGGUCUUCCCUGCGCGGGUUCAAAUCCCGCCCCCGGCG